UACGAAGGGUGCAAGCGUUAGUCGGAAUUACUGGGCGUAAAGGGCUCGUAGGCGGCCAACUAAGUCAGACGUGAAAUCCCUCAGCUUAGCUGGGGAACUGCGUCUGAUACUGGAUGGCUUGGAUUCGGGAGAGGAAUGCGGAAUUCCAGGUGUAGCGGUGAAAUGCGUAGAUAUCUGGAGGAACACCGGUGGCGAAGGCGGCAUUCUGGACCGACAUUGACGCUGAGGAGCGAAAGCCAGGGGAGCAAACGGG
rnacentral:rRNA from 1 species